AUCCUCAGUGACGAUCUGU
rnacentral:misc_RNA from 1 species